rnacentral:rRNA from 1 species
AGUGACGGACGGGUGAGUAACACGUAAGAAUUUGCCUUUAGGAGGGGGACAACAACUGGAAACGGUUGCUAAUACCCCAUAUGCUUUCGAGUGAAAUGGAUUUUUCCGCCUAAAGAGAAGCUUGCGGCUGAUUAGCUUGUUGGUGAGGUAAUGGCUCACCAAGGCGACGAUCAGUAUCUGGUUUGAGAGGAUGAUCAGACACACUGGAACUGAGACACGGUCCAGACUCCUACGGGAGGCAGCAGUGGGGAAUUUUCCGCAAUGGGCGAAAGCCUGACGGAGCAAUCUCGCGUGAGGGAUGACGGCCUAUGGGUUGUAAACCCCUUUUUUCAGGGAGGAACAAAAUGACGUGUACCUGAAGAAUAAGCAUCGGCUAACUCCGUGCCAGCAGCCGCGGUAAGACGGAGGAUGCAAGUGUUAUCCGGAAUCACUGGGCGUAGAGCGUCUGUAGGUGGUUUAAUAAGUCAACUGUUAAAUCUUGAAGCUCAACUUCAAAAUCGCAGUCGAAACUAUUAGACUAGAGUAUAGUAGGGGUAAAGGGAAUUUCCAGUGGAGCGGUGAAAUGCGUAGAUAUUGGAAAGAACACCGAUGGCGAAGGCACUUUACUGGGCUAUUACUGACACUCAGAGACGAAAGCUAGGGUAGCAAAUGGGAUUAGAUACCCCAGUAGUCCUAGCCGUAAACAAUGGAUACUAGAUGU